UCGCCGCCGACGACGUCGCGAGAAGUCCACUGAACCUUAUCAUUUAGAGGAAGGAGAAGUCGUAACAAGGUUUCCGUAGGUGAACCUGCGGAAGGAUCAUUGUCGACACCUGCAAAGCAGAGCGACCCGUGAACCGUUUUUCAACKCYCGGGAUACCGGGGGGGCGCMUGUCCGCCCGGUAGCCCGAAAGCUCCGGACUCUAGGGGUGCAACCCACCCCAGGGUACGGAGCUCCAAACAAACCCCGGCGCGCGAAGCGCCAAGGUACUCCAACGAUAGGGCAUGCGCCCGUAGCCCUGGGUUCCAGUGUGCUCGGGCUGCUGUUCAACGUCAUAAAGUCUAAACGACUCUCGGCAACGGAUAUCUCGGCUCUCGCAUCGAUNNNAACGCAGCGAAAUGCGAUACUUGGUGUGAAUUGCAGAAUCCCGUGAACCAUCGAGUCUUUGAACGCAAGUUGCGCCCGAAGCCUUGGCUGAGGGCACGUCUGCCUGGGUGUCACGCAUCGCGUUGCCUCCAAACCCUUCACCCUUCGGACGUUGCGGUGAUGGUCUGGAUGCGGAAGCUGGCCUCCCGCGGCCGCGAGCCACGGAUGGCCCAAACACGUGCUAGGGAAGCGAAGCGCCACGGCAUUCGGUGGUUGAUCCAAGCCCCAGAAGCAGUGCCGGCGGUGGCCGCGUCCGUCCCUAGCCCACGACCCUAAUCGUUAACCAACGCGACCUCAGGUCAGGCGGGGCUACCCGCUGAGUUUAAGCAUAUCAAUAAGCGGAGG
rnacentral:rRNA from 1 species